GCUUAAAUGACUUAUAUUUAGAGUGUAACAUUGAAGAUGUUAAUGAGAUUUUUUUAAUCUUUAAGCA
rnacentral:tRNA from 1 species